rnacentral:rRNA from 1 species
GAGUUUGAUCGUGGCUCAGAUUGAACGCUGGCGGCAUGCCUUACACAUGCAAGUCGAACGGCAGCAUGAUCUAGCUUGCUAGAUUGAUGGCGAGUGGCGAACGGGUGAGUAAUACAUCGGAACGUGCCCUGUAGUGGGGGAUAACUAGUCGAAAGAUUAGCUAAUACCGCAUACGACCUGAGGGUGAAAGUGGGGGACCGCAAGGCCCCAUGCUAUAGGAGCGGCCGAUGUCUGAUUAGCUAGUUGGUGGGGUAAAGGCCCACCAAGGCGACGAUCAGUAGCUGGUCUGAGAGGACGAUCAGCCACACUGGGACUGAGACACGGCCCAGACUCCUACGGGAGGCAGCAGUGGGGAAUUUUGGACAAUGGGCGAAAGCCUGAUCCAGCAAUGCCGCGUGUGUGAAGAAGGCC